rnacentral:rRNA from 1 species
UGCAAGUCGAGCGGAACGGGUUAUCUGAACCUUCGGGGGACGAUAACGGCGUCGAGCGGCGGACGGGUGAGUAAUGCCUAGGAAAUUGCCCUGAUGUGGGGGAUAACCAUUGGAAACGAUGGCUAAUACCGCAUAACACCUUCGGGUCAAAGAGGGGGACCUUCGGGCCUCUCGCGUCAGGAUAUGCCUAGGUGGGAUUAGCUAGUUGGUGAGGUAAUGGCUCACCAAGGCGACGAUCCCUAGCUGGUCUGAGAGGAUGAUCAGCCACACUGGAACUGAGACACGGUCCAGACUCCUACGGGAGGCAGCAGUGGGGAAUAUUGCACAAUGGGCGCAAGCCUGAUGCAGCCAUGCCGCGUGUGUGAAGAAGGCCUUCGGGUUGUAAAGCACUUUCAGUCGUGAGGAAGGUAGUGUAGUUAAUAGCUGCAUUAUUUGACGUUAGCGACAGAAGAAGCACCGGCUAACUCCGUGCCAGCAGCCGCGGUAAUACGGAGGGUGCGAGCGUUAAUCGGAAUUACUGGGCGUAAAGCGCAUGCAGGUGGUUUGUUAAGUCAGAUGUGAAAGCCCGGGGCUCAACCUCGGAAUAGCAUUUGAAACUGGCAGACUAGAGUACUGUAGAGGGGGGUAGAAUUUCAGGUGUAGCGGUGAAAUGCGUAGAGAUCUGAAGGA